rnacentral:rRNA from 1 species
CCUACGGGUGGCUGCAGUGGGGAAUAUUGGACAAUGGGGGCAACCCUGAUCCAGCCAUGCCGCGUGUGUGAAGAAGGCCCUCGGGUUGUAAAGCACUUUCAGUGAGGAAGAACGCCUGGUGGUUAAUACCCAUCAGGAAAGACAUCACUCACAGAAGAAGCACCGGCUAACUCCGUGCCAGCAGCCGCGGUAAUACGGAGGGUGCGAGCGUUAAUCGGAAUUACUGGGCGUAAAGCGCGCGUAGGUGGCUUGAUAAGCCGGUUGUGAAAGCCCCGGGCUCAACCUGGGAACGGCAUCCGGAACUGUCAAGCUAGAGUGCAGUAGAGGAAGGUAGAAUUCCCGGUGUAGCGGUGAAAUGCGUAGAGAUCGGGAGGAAUACCAGUGGCGAAGGCGGCCUUCUGGACUGACACUGACACUGAGGUGCGAAAGCGUGGGUAGCAAACAGGAUUAGAUACCCCGGUAGUC